ACUAAGUUUCAACAACGGAUCUCUUGGCUCUCGCAUCGAUGAAGAACGCAGCGAAAUGCGAUAAGUAAUGUGAAUUGCAGAAUUCAGUGAAUCAUCGAAUCUUUGAACGCACCUUGCGCUCCUUGGUAUUCCUUGGAGCACGCCUGUUUGAGUAUCAUGAAAU
rnacentral:rRNA from 1 species